UUGCUUAACCUAUAAUAAGAAACAUGUUACUAGGAAUCAAUGUAUAAUAUACGAUAGUUUUCAAAUACAUUAUAAUUAAAUUUAUUUUUAAUACUUAAAACAAAUUUUAUUAUAGAAAAAGAUAGAAAUAUUAAUCAUAUGUUAACUAUAUUUUUAUUUAAAAAUCAUAAUAUAAAUAAUUACGUUAUAUUUCAUUUAUUUUAUCUUAAAAUUAAAAAAAUUAAAAAAAUGGAUGUUAAUAAGGCAAAGUUAUCAAAAAGUAUUUUAGAAAUGAAAUUUAUGAAACGUACUAAAGAAAAAGUAGAGAAACAACAAUUUCAAGAAGAGGGAGAAGAAUAUUUUGGAAAUGAAUUAACAAAACGUAUGAAGAAAGAUUCGUAA